rnacentral:lncRNA from 10 species
AAUGGUCUCUAAACAUAUGACAAAAUGAACUACUUCAUUAGUUAUCAGGGAAAUGCAAAUUAAAACCAAAGAGAACUACUAGCCGCCACUCACCCACCAGAAUUGUUAAAAUAUAAAAAGAAACAGACGAGGGUAGAGCGAGAUGGCCAAAUAGAACACUUCAGUCAUCGUCCCACUGGCAGAAACAGCAAAUUGAAUUAAAGUCCACACAAAAUAGCACCUUUAUAAGAAUCAUAAAUCAGGUGAUUGAUCAGAGUACCUUGUUAUAAUAAUAUAUCAAGAAAAGAAACACAGAAGAGGGAAGGGAUUACAGUCUUAAACUGCUGACAUCACCCUUCCGCCAUUCCCAGGCAGUGACUGCAUGGUGCAGAGAGAGAAUUUGUGCACUUGGGGGAGAGAGAGCGCAGUGAUUGUGAGACUUCUCUUUGAACUCAGCACUGCCCCAUCACGGUGGAAAGCAACACACAGCCGACCUCAGCUGGUGCUCAUCCAGGCAGCAUUUAGACCAGCUCUAGCCAAUGGUGAAUUUUCCAUCUCAGUGGUCAGAAGUUGAGUCCUGGCAAGCCCUGCCAUUAUGGGCUAAAGUGCUGUGAGGUUCUAAAUAAACGUUAACGCAGCCUAGGCCGUAAGGAAUGCGAUUUCUGGGUAAGUCCUUGUGCUGUGCUGAGCUUGGAGCCAUUGGAUUUGUAGUGCACGUUACCCGGUGAGACACCAACCAGUGUUGCCAAGGGAGUGCUUGCAGCACCCCUCCCCGCAACCCCAGGCCACGCAGCUGUCAGCUCUUCCCUCCACUUGAGGAGAGGUGAGGGAAGCGUAAAGAGGACUUGGUUCUGCGACUUGAAUACCAGCUCAGCCACAGUACGAUAGGGCACUGGGCGAAGUACUCAUUCUAGACCCUAGCUCCCAGACAACAUUUUUAAUCACAUUGGGUCAAAAGGAACCCCAAUGCCCUGUUGGGAAGGAUCCAGUCCUGGAAAGAUUUAUUCUCUCCUAACUAAAGAGCCCUUGGGCCAUGAAUAAUUAGUAGUGGUGUCCAGGCAGUACUCGCCGCAGGCCUUGGGUGAGGCUCAGAGCCCUGCUGGCUUCAUAUGCAGCACAUACCCAGAUGUGAUGGCUACGGAAACUGACUCCUGAUUGAUGAAAGGACAGUGUUCAAGGAGGCAAAACAGAAUUAGAGACAAGACAGAAGCAUGUUCUCAUGUCAUGUUCUCAUGGAGAGUGGCUAUCUUUCUGAAUUGGAAUCACCUGAUAACCCACUCAACUAGCUCAUUGACUAGACGAUUAACAGCUGACAGAAACAUCUACCAUUUGGGGGGCUGCCCAUAUUUUCAGCCAAUUUUCUCUCUCAGCCAUACACCUGGAAGACUUGAUACACCUAUCAGCUCAGCACAGAUAUUAGAGCAGGAUCUCCUCACACUCAUCCACCUAGAUCCUGAAACUGGAGGGACCUGCACUACUUCGUAGUCUGUUUGUUCUGCUUAUCCGGGUGAAGAUGGAACUGGACAAAAGAAUACCUAGGGGUGGACCACUUGGUGCCACACUUCUUCUUCUGUGUCUCCAUCAUAUAGCAAUGGCUGUGACUCAUCCCGAUGAUUGGGAUCAAUUACGCCUGCAACAGUGCCCUUUUUUGUUUCUUCAUCCACUGGUCUACAGACUUGCAGAGCCCAGGAUGAACUAAUAGCAACCAUGGCUUUACAUUUAGUGAGAAUUAGGUGGAACACAGGCCUUCAAGAAGAGUCUUCCCACAAAGAAGAAGAACAUCUAGACACACAGAGCCUAAAUAUUCAUGCAGAACUUCACCAGCACAAACACCCUGCUGGAAUUGGUGGUAAGUGGAACCACUUCUACUGUACUUUUUGUCAGUUUGUAGUAUCAGAGUUUUGCUAAAUGUGUAAGACCAUGAAUUAACCUUUCAUUCCAAAUUUAGCCAUACACUUUGUUUUGAUAUACAGCAUUUCCUGUUUUUAUUCUGUAACAUGCAUAAAUUUUCUAUAGACACAGUUUUAUUUUUUGUCCCAAUUUGUAUCUUAACAGUUUUCAGAAAUUAUAAAUGGUUAUUUAAAAAAAUACAUUUAUUAAUUCUUAGUCUUAUUUGCAUUAUAGGCAAAGACUAUUCUGCACAGUUUUUGUCUUGAGAAAAUUGAGGUUGCAUAGAAUAUGGCAAACUGGACAAGUGCUUCACUGAUUGUUGCAAAAAAGAUAUGUUAACUAUUCUGCAAGUAUAUACUUUAUAUAUAUGAUUUCAGUAUGAUCAGUUACUCAAAUUCUCAUUAUUUUUGUUUACUUGAUUUUUGAAAGAGCACUGUGUAAAAGGCCCUCCUAAUACAUAUUUCUGUCAAUUUCUCCUUUUAUGUAUGAUACAUUUUUAAAAUAUAUAUAUAAAUUGCUACAUACACUCAUGAAUAUUU